UACGUAGGUGACCAGCGUUGUCCGGAUUUACUGGGCGUAAAGAGCGCGCAGGCGGUCGUUCAAGUCGAGUGUGAAAGCCCCCGGCUCAACUGGGGAGGGUCACUCGAUACUGAUCGACUUGAAGGCAGGAGAGGGAAGCGGAAUUCCCGGUGUAGUGGUGAAAUGCGUAGAUAUCGGGGAGGAACACCAGUGGCGAAGGCGGCUUCCUGGCCUGGUUCUUGACGCU
rnacentral:rRNA from 1 species